rnacentral:rRNA from 1 species
GACGAACGCUGGCGGCGUGCUUAACACAUGCAAGUCGAACGAAGUGGCGAACGGGUGAGUAACGCGUAAUCAACCUGCCCUUCAGAGGGGGACAACAGUUGGAAACGACUGCUAAUACCGCAUACUGAAGGAGGGGAUUGCGUCUGAUUAGCUAGUUGGAGGGGUAACGGCCCACCAAGGCGAUGAUCAGUAGCCGGGCCUGGAGGGUUAACAGGCAACUUGGGACUGAGGCACGGCCCAGACUCCUACGGGAGGCAGCAGUGGGGAAUCUUCCGCAAUGGACGAAAGGCUUACGGAGCAAAGCCGCGUGAGUGAUGACGGCCUUCGGGUUGUAAAGCUCUGUUAAUCGGGACGCGGUACCGGAAUAGAAAGCCACGGCUAACUACGUGCCAGCCGCCGCGGUAAUAC